AACGAUUCGUCCACGCCGUCUUCCUUUCGUCGGAGCAGUGGAAGGAGCGCCGGGGAGGGGGACACUCCACGGCGGCGGUGCUUGGGGCUCCGACGAGCGGAGGCGAGCGGCGAGGGGAGAAGCUCCGCCAUCAGCCAUGGCCGUUGUGGCUUCGCGUGCGCCCGCGAGCGGCUGCGCGUGGCUGGAUGAUGCGCGCGCGGCCGCCGAGCUUCGCCGACCGGACUCCUCUCGUUGCAGCAGCCACGCCGCCGUCUCACCAAGGCUAGGGAAAAGGGGAUCCAUGGAGAUGAGGAACUAAGGUGGAGAUGCGGCGAGGCGGAGAAGGAGUGCAGAUGAAGGGCGGCUUGGGGCUCGUGGCAGACCGGAUCCAGCUAGGGGGGGGGGGGGGGGGGGGUCGGAUUCGUCGGCUGGCGACGCGAGGAGCUCACGGCGGAGCUCCAGCGCCAUGGCUCCGGCAGGAGACGUGGCGCACGGCGGCGACGGCGGCUCUCCUCAGGAGGAUCUCGGGCAUUGAGAGGUUGGGCUGUGUGCUGCCCCAAGGACAGAGCCCACCGACUGCUCGUCAUGGGCCACCACCACCACGCCUUCGACGGGAUACGACCUCCACCACUCCAGCGAGCAGGAGCAUCGUGGUGGCUGCGGUCUAUUGAAAUCUUAGUUUCUUCAUCUUCUUUGAGAUUAUGUUUUGUUUGCAUCUGAUAAUUGGGAUGACCUCCUUUCUUUCAGGUUUGUACUGUUAAUUAAGAUGAACUUGAGUGACGAGGAUGAUUUAGAAAAUUAUAUCUUCUGACCAGAUAAAAUCAGUGUUGCCGAUCUGAGUUGAUUUUUUUGAUAAAGGGAGCUUUAAGAUGUUAGUUGAUUUGGAAGAUUAUGUCUCUAGACCGGAUAAAAUCUGUGCUGCUGAUGUGAGUUGAUUUGGAAGAUUAUGUCUUCAGACCGGAUAAAAUCAGUGUUGCUGAUGAAGUUGGCAUGCAUGCUGUCUGCAAAAAUCGGUAUGCUAUCCCCCAAGGAAUUCGAGAAGGGUUACCGAACCAACUUCCAGAAGCUUUAGACAGACUUUGACUUCUACAAAUGACGCAACAAACUGUUAAAGAGGAUGCUUUAUUUCAUACGGGUGACAAUUAUUAACACUAGAGUUGAAUUUGUGGACAGUCGCCUCUCACAGUAAUAUCCUUGUAUAUUGGUGCUCCUAUAGUGUGCACAUUCAGUCUCAUCGGUGUUGUUAAGCUACUUGCCUGUACAAUUCCACGGAGCUCGAGUGUCAUGGGAGUUGAUUCCCUGCAAGAGAGAAGAAUUCAAAAGGGAGAGAAGAAGGAAAAGGAUAGGGCGGCGGGGUCGUGGGUACAUGCGCGCACUAAAGGAUGCAGACGAAUGGCUCGGGCAGGACCACAGGAGACGUGGUGCACGGCGGCGGCGGCUCUCCUCGGGAGGAGCUCUGGCGUUGAGAGAGGUUGAAGAGAAUAAGUAAGGCCAAUCUUUGAGCAGGAGAGUGAAAAGAUCCAAGAGUGAUACAUCCAAGCACUUGAUUUGAGUCAAACUUGGUUUGCUGUACAGAAUUCCACCAUAUUUGUCCACACAAAUAGUUCUUGAUAUUUAGUUCAGAUUGUUUUUCUCCAUAGUUCAGUGUCUACAUCUGUAUUCUCCUAAUAUAGUCAUACUGUCCAUUUUAUAAA